GAUGAACGCUGGCGGCGUGCCUAAUACAUGCAAGUCGAGCGAACAGACGAGGAGCUUGCUCCUCUGACGUUAGCGGCGGACGGGUGAGUAACACGUGGAUAACCUACCUAUAAGACUGGGAUAACUUCGGGAAACCGGAGCUAAUACCGGAUAAUAUAUUGAACCGCAUGGUUCAAUAGUGAAAGACGGUUUUGCUGUCACUUAUAGAUGGAUCCGCGCCGCAUUAGCUAGUUGGUAAGGUAACGGCUUACCAAGGCAACGAUGCGUAGCCGACCUGAGAGGGUGAUCGGCCACACUGGAACUGAGACACGGUCCAGACUCCUACGGGAGGCAGUAGUAGGGAAUCUUCCGCAAUGGGCGAAAGCUUGACGGAGCAACGCCGCGUGAGUGAUGAAGGUCUUCGGAUCGUAAAACUCUGUUAUUAGGGAAGAACAAAUGUGUAAGUAACUAUGCACGUCUUGACGGUACCUAAUCAGAAAGCCACGGCUAACUACGUG
rnacentral:rRNA from 1 species